UCUUAUGGAUGAACAAAGAAAGUGGUUUCUUGAGAUGGAAACUAGUCUUGGUGAAGAUACUGUGAA
rnacentral:pre_miRNA from 1 species